rnacentral:rRNA from 1 species
GAACGAGGAUAUACCCUUCGGGGUAUAAGCCGAGUGGCGCAAGGGUGAGUAAUGCAUAGAUUACCUGCCUCCGGGAUAAGGACAACUUUGCGAAAACGAAGCUAAUACUUAAUAAUACAAAAGAAAAUAAUUUUCAUUUGUCAAUGGGAGGGUAGCAAUACCUUUUGCCUGGAGAGGGGUUUAUGUCCUAUCAGCUUGUUGGUGGGGUAAUGGCCUACCAAGGCGAUGACGGGUAGCCGGUCUUAGAGGAUGGUCGGCCACACUGGGACUGAGACACUGCCCAGACUUCUACGGAAGGCUGCAGUCGAGAAUCUUCCGCAAUGCCCGAAAGGGUGACGAAGCGACGCCGCGUGAGUGAGGAAGGCCUUCGGGUUGUAAAGCUCUGUCAGGAGUUAAGAAAUAUAAGUGUGCUAAUACCACAUUUAUUUGACAAAAGCUCCAAAGGAAGCCACGGCUAACUCUGUGCCAGCAGCCGCGGUAAUACAGAGGUGGCAAGCGUUGUUCGGAAUUAUUGGGCGUAAAGAGCACGUAGGUGGGUUUGUAAGUCAGAUGUGAAAGCCUUCUGUUCAACGGAAGAAUUGCAUCUGAAACUGCGAGUCUUGAGUGUAGGUGGGGAGAAUGGAACUUCUGGUGGAGCGGUGAAAUGCGUAGAUAUCAGAAGGAACGCCGGCGGCGAAAGCGAUUCUCUGGCCUAUUACUGACACUCAGUGUGCGAAAGCUAGGGGAGCAAACGGGAUUAGAUACCCCGGUAGUCCUAGCUGUAAACGAU